rnacentral:rRNA from 1 species
UGCCAGCCGCCGCGGUAAUACGGAGGGUGCAAGCGUUGUCCGGAAUCACUGGGCGUAAAGGGUGCGCAGGCGGGGCAGCAAGUCGGAGGUGAAAUCCCACGGCUCAACCGUGGAAGUGCCUUCGAAACUGUUGCUCUUGAGUCCCGGAGAGGCUGCCGGAAUUCGUGGUGUAGCGGUGAAAUGCGUAGAGGUCACGAGGAACACCAGAGGCGAAAGCGGGCAGCUGGACGGGUACUGACGCUCAGGCACGAAAGCGUGGGGAGCAAACAGGAUUAGAUA